CAGUCGCCACGGUAAUACGAAGGGUGCAAGCGUUACUCGGAAUUACUGGGCGUAAAGCGUGCGUAGGUGGUGGUUUAAGUCCGUUGUGAAAGCCCUGGGCUCAACCUGGGAAUUGCAGUGGAUACUGGGUCACUAGAGUGUGGUAGAGGAUAGUGGAAUUUCCGGUGUAGCAGUGAAAUGCGUAGAGAUCGGAAGGAACAUCUGUGGCGAAGGCGACUAUCUGGGCCAACACUGACACUGAGGCACGAAAGCGUGGGGAGCAAACAGGAUUAGAUACCCGGUAGUCCCUGUCUCUUAUACC
rnacentral:rRNA from 1 species